AUACAAGGUUAAUAUCUAAACAUCUUUUCUGUUUACUAUAUGAUUGCCUGAUGACAGUAGCUUAAGCGGCCAGAUAUAAUAUUACAACUCUAUGUGUACUUCCGUGUACGUUCUGAGAAGUUGCGUUCCUUGAAAUAAGUAUACACAAUAUGAAGCCGCAUGAAUAUCAAGAAAGAAGAGUAAAUUUUCUAAAAUGCAUAAAUUGAUUUUAAAUUAUGCAAAUUUAAAUAACAUGAAAAAGCUGGACACAAGAAGUCUAUCAAACUCCUGUCUGUAAAUAACUUAGGAUUUGCAAGGACACCAUUAAUUUUUUAAUGGCUUAUCAAGGAAAUAAAACGUUCUUAACCACAAACCGAAAGAGGAAGUACUUGUAAAUACCGUUGGAAAAUAUAUUAAAACUAUCGAGUUGUUUUGAAUUUUAAUUUACAACUAUGGCGGCUGUUAUGGGUCGAACUGAGGUCGGUAUAAGACAGGUCGGCGGAGCUGUAACUGUAGCUAAUGACCCAAAGGCUAGGCUUAUGUACUAUUUGAAUUGUAUAUGCUCAGUACUGGACCUCAGUGAUACAGCAAACCUGACCAGACUAAGAAACUAUAAAGAAUACUCUUUACUGACAGAGGCAGAAACAGACGCUCUUGUAACACUCGGCAUCCUUCUCUCACCUGACGAGCUUUGUGGAAAAGUUAUUUUUCAGG